UCCUUCUGUGUCCAAGUGAACAGAGCACUUGAACUGUGUCCAACUGAACGGUGUCCAAAUGAACGAUUCUGUGGCAUCGGCGCACACGUCUGUUAACAUCAAAAAAUUGGAAGACGCUAUACAAUUGUGGUUAAACCAUGCGUCCGAUCGGAAAAAAAAGCAGAAAAGAGAAAAGAUCAUCCUGCACGACCUGAAAUUGAUAAGGAUGCAAAUUUAAACUGUACUUCAUAAAAUAUUUAUAAAAUAUUGUAACUAAUUAAUAUUAUAGUUUCCAAUAUAUAAUAUACUUUAUAAUAUAUAUUACUUCAUAACUAAUAUAUAUUACUUCAUAAUAUUAUUAUAGUUCAUUUAUGUUAUAACGUUCACAUUUUAACUUUAUAAAAAUUUGACAAUAUUGUACAAAAGUGCAAUAAAACUCAGUACAAUCAAA